GCGGCUAACGAGCUACCUACUUAGCGGACGGCGUUAGCAUUAGAAUCAGCUGCCAGCUCCACUGUUAGCAUUAGCCUCCUCCUAUAGUGUUGUCCUUUACAUUCUUUUGUUGCUUCUGUGAGCAGAUAUUAAAUGUGGGUCACUAAUGAGAACAGAUAGUAACACAGUGGUUGUCUGUUUACAGCUCUUGCCGUCACUCCGCGUGUCUCCGCAGUUGUGUGACCAUGCGGACUCGUUUUGUGUCUUUGUUGACAUUUCUGUGUGUAUUAGUUGGUUUGAGUCAGUUCCUAGUCCUUCUGUGUCUCUUAAUGGCGCUUGAAUAUAACGCUGUGAUGACGUGUGUCUCUGUUUACAUGGUGUGUUGUCCCUGGCCGUGACCUUUGUCGUCAUUACUCGUGACCUUUGUCGUCAUAUGCUGCGACCGCAGAGCAGAGCAGAGCCGCGGAGACGUCGUUGUUUUGGUUUGUUAGCACUGAGAGAAGGUUAAUUACUGAAGAAGUCUGGAGGCUAAACCGAGCUUUAGAGCUGUUUUGUCGAACACAGGUGAGGUUGGACACUGCGGCUAACGAGCUACCUACUUAGCGGACGGCGUUAGCAUUAGAAUCAGCUGCCAGCUCCACUGUUAGCAUUAGCCUCCUCCUAUAGUGUUGUCCUUUACAUUCUUUUGUUGCUUCUGUGAGCAGAUAUUAAAUGUGGGUCACUAAUGAGAACAGAUAGUAACACAGUGGUUGUCUGUUUACAGCUCUUGCCGUCACUCCGCGUGUCUCCGCAGUUGUGUGACCAUGCGGACUCGUUUUGUGUCUUUGUUGACAUUUCUGUGUGUAUUAGUUGGUUUGAGUCAGUUCCUAGUCCUUCUGUGUCUCUUAAUGGCGCUUGAAUAUAACGCUGUGAUGACGUGUGUCUCUGUUUACAUGGUGUGUUGUCCCUGGCCGUGACCUUUGUCGUCAUUACUCGUGACCCGUGUCGUCAUAUGCUGCGACCGCAGAGCAGAGCCGCGGAGACGUCGUUGUUUUGGUUUGUUAGCACUGAGAGAAGGUUAAUUACUGAAGAAGUCUGGAGGCUAAACCGAGCUUUAGAGCUGUUUUGUCGAACACAGGUGUCACCACUUCAUCCAUGACUCCAGAGACCAGAUGAGACCAGGACAGAGUCUUCCAGGUGAACUCACAGAAACAGCUGGAUCCAGUGGAGCUGAAGGAGGAGGAGGCGACGGCAGCAGCUGAAGGUCUGGACCUGAAGAGGAUGAAAGAAAAACAGAGUUAUUGAGCUGAUAAUCACAGACUGAUGCAAGUAAAGCUGUUUGGUUUUAUUCACUCAGUUUCUAACAGUGUGAUGUAGUUGUCCUCAUGUGCUCACUCAGUACAUUAGCUUGGUUUGUAGAGAUAUAAAGACUGUGACCGGAAAUGUUUAACGUCUUUACACUGUCAUGAUUUUCCUCUGAAAGAAGAGCAGCUUUUACCUCUAGAUGAUUCUUCAACUGAAGUUUGUAACUCAGACACUGGUUGGUUUGUGGUAUUCUUUGAGUAUUUUACUUUUUUAGUCUUUGACAGUUUGAACUUCAAUACCCAGAAAUCCUCUGUGCUUUUGGUUCUGUGAUUUGAAAGUUGCUGAUGUUUGUUGUUUCUGAAUUUUCUCUUCAGGACUCAGAGUUGAACAUCAGCUGAUGGAGAGAAGAGACAUGAAAACAUUUCCAGAAGGUCAGUGUUUAUUGUUUUCAGUCUGACUCUGUCAUUAUCUCAGCUGCAAUAACAUAAUCCACUUUAAUAAUAAUUAUCAGUAUUUUUUCACUAUGUCACUGCAAAAAGAAUUGGUAUGAAACUCUUAAAUGUGUGUCUCCUGUGUAGAGUCAGACUGAAAACAAUAAACACUGACCUUCUGGAAAUGUUUUCAUGUCUCUUCUCUCCAUCAGCUGAUGUUCAACUCUGCUGAUUUUUGUUGUCUUUCUCUUCAGGACUCAGCCUUGAACAUCAAACCAAAAGCACAGAGGGUUUCUGGGUAUUGAAGUUCAAACUGUCAAAGAGUAAAAAAGUAAAAUACACCAAAUCCACGAAAAAAC